CUAUAAAAACCGGCUCCAUGUCACUUAGCCCGCAGGAAGUGUUGCUGUGUGAACACACAAGUCUGCAGCCUUGACCAAAGCCAGUGUGAAGUGUGUGUUCUGAAGUGUGGCAUGUCCAGCCUCCUUGACUCCCUGUGGGUUUCUGCAGCUUCUCCUCCAUGGCCUUCACUCUCUCUCUGUGUUCCAGGCAAGGUGGCCAUCCAGAAGGAAGACUUGCAAAGGUACCACAACAGGGACACAUGGUUCCAGCUCCAGCAUGUGGAUGCUGACUCAGAGGUGCAGGUGAGACUCACACGUGCGCCGGGCCGGGUUGACAUAGCUCUAAGCUGUGUGCGCGAGACUGGAGUGGGGGCCCAGCGCGUCGUGUGACCCAGCUCAGGCCCGCUCCUCCGUUGUGUUCGUUGCUCUGGUUACUGGUGCGUUUUGUCAGGCAGAUGGAAGCAACGUUAAAAAUACAGAAGGUGGGGAGGGAGGUGGCAAAAAAAAAAAAAAAAA
rnacentral:lncRNA from 1 species